GUAGUCAUAUGCUUGUCUCAAGAUUAAGCCAUGCAUGUCUAAGUAUAAGCAAUUAUACCGUGAAACUGCGAAUGACUCAUUAAAUCAGUUAUCGUUUAUUUGAUAAUACCUUACUACUUGGAUAACCGUGGUAAUUCUAGAGCUAAUACAUGCUAAAAAUCCCGACUUCGGAAGGGAUGUGUUUAUUAGAUAAAAAACCAAUGCCCUUCGGGGCUUCUUGGUGAUUCAUGAUAACUUUACGGAUCGCAUAGCCUUGCGCUGGCGACGGUUCAUUCAAAUUUCUGCCCUAUCAACUUUCGAUGGUAAGGUAUUGGCUUACCAUGGUUUCAACGGGUAACGGGGAAU
rnacentral:rRNA from 1 species